GUGGGGAAUAUUGGGCAAUGGGCGAAAGCCUGACCCAGCAACGCCGCGUGAAGGAAGAAGGUUUUCGGAUCGUAAACUUCUAUCCUUGGUGAAGAUAAUGACGGUAGCCAAGAAGGAAGUCCCGGCUAACUACGUGCCAGCAGCCGCGGUAAUACGUAGGGGGCAAGCGUUGUCCGGAAUGAUUGGGCGUAAAGGGCGCGUAGGCGGCGCGGUAAGUCUGAAGUAGAAGUCCUGCUUUUAAGGUGGGAAUUGCUUUGGAUACUGUCGGGCUUGAGUGCAGGCGAGGUAAGCGGAAUUCCCGGUGUAGCGGUGAAAUGCGUAGAGAUCGGGAGGAACACCAGUGGCGAAGGCGGCUUACUGGACUGUAACUGACGCUGAGGCGCGAAAGUGUGGGGAGCAAACAGGAUUAGAAACCCGGGUAGUCC
rnacentral:rRNA from 1 species